UACGAAGGGGGCUAGCGUUGCUCGGAAUCACUGGGCGUAAAGCGCACGUAGGCGGAUCUUUAAGUCAGGGGUGAAAUCCUGGAGCUCAACUCCAGAACUGCCUUUGAUACUGGGGAUCUCGAGUCCGGAAGAGGUGAGUGGAACUCCGAGUGUAGAGGUGAAAUUCGUAGAUAUUCGGAAGAACACCAGUGGCGAAGGCGGCUCACUGGCCCGGUACUGACGCUGAGGAGCGAAAGCGUGGGGAGCAAACAGG
rnacentral:rRNA from 1 species